rnacentral:lncRNA from 1 species
UCUUGGACACUGGUAUUCGAGGUACGAGCUCUCGGCCAUCCAGUGAUUGCUGCCUUAAUCACGAAGCAAUCUCCACAUGUUUUGCCCCUGGCUUACAGCACCCUUCUCUUCUUUGUUGAUUCUGUCUCCCAUCAUCAGAUAGAGAGGACGAGCUGCAAGGCGGCCAAGCCUCGCGGGCAGGAGGAGUUGGACACACAUGGAGAGUGCAGACCGAGAGGAUUCUGGCCACGGGGAGCACCGUCGGCGCGGAUUCACCCAUAGCAAAAAUAUGGUGUUAUCCUGAUUGAGCUUUUCUUCUAGCCACCAUCCUCCCCCUUCGCUUCCUCUUCUCACCCCGUUGUUUGGGUCUUCUUGACCUUGCAAGACCUUUUCUUGACCUUGUAAGACCCAACAAUAUCACGUUUUCUCCCACACUCUUCAUCUUCUUGUUCCACCUUCUUUUCCUUGCCAUGUUCCUUUCCACCCCUCUCUCUUCCAUCUUUCUUCCAUCUAUCCCUCCUGAGCUAUAUUUUUUUAUAGUUGCAUUUCUUAUAUUCAAAGUAUUGGGAACAAGAUGAUACAUGGAGUGACAAGUGAAGGAGAUUCUACCUCCUUUGUCAUACGAUGUGUGUAGAUUCAUCAUUUCCACGUUGUAUUUUCCUUCUUUUGUUUCGGUUGUAGAGAGUACAGUUGAUGAGAUACAAAAGCACAGUCCUUGUUGCCGUAAUGCUCAUGCACGUGGAGUAGGAGCCUACAUGUAAUUGAGCAUGUUUAUGUGUGCCAACGUUGUAAUAAGUUUGCUAUUCCUGCUUGAAUAGAAACAUUCUGAUGCUGUGGUACUGUUGAGAAGAACUGUUCAUUUUGGCAGCGCAGAGGCACCGCGGUAUUUGUGUGUUGUCAUUUCGUUUUGUUGCGCCGAUCUACAGAAGUUCAGUUAUGUCUCAUCUUUGUAGCAUCGUAACAUUCGACCCUAGUCCAUACUUAUCACCUAUGAUACAUUUCAAGUUUUCAACAUCGUACUUGUGAUUUACGAACAACUUCAAUACUACACUUUUCCCUGCAAAAAAAGAGAAGAAAAACAGCGCUGCAUUUUGC